rnacentral:rRNA from 1 species
AGUGAACGCUGGCGGUAGGCCUAACACAUGCAAGUCGAACGGCAGCACAGUAAGAGCCUGCUCUUACGGGUGGCGAGUGGCGGACGGGUGAGGAAUACAUCGGAAUCUACUUUUUCGUGGGGGAUAACGUAGGGAAACUUACGCUAAUACCGCAUACGACCUACGGGUGAAAGCAGGGGAUCUUCGGACCUUGCGCGAUUGAAUGAGCCGAUGUCGGAUUAGCUAGUUGGCGGGGUAAAGGCCCACCAAGGCGACGAUCCGUAGCUGGUCUGAGAGGAUGAUCAGCCACACUGGAACUGAGACACGGUCCAGACUCCUACGGGAGGCAGCAGUGGGGAAUAUUGGACAAUGGGCGCAAGCCUGAUCCAGCCACACCGCGUGGGUGAAGAAGGCCUUCGGGUUGUAAAGCCCUUUUGUUGGGAAAGAAAAGCAGCAGGUUAAUACCCCGCUGUUCUGACGGUACCCAAAGAAUAAGCACCGGCUAACUUCGUG